rnacentral:tRNA from 1 species
UCCUCAGUGGCUCAGAUGGUUAAGAGUCUGUCUGCAAUGCAGGAGACCCAGGUUCGAUCCCUGGGUUAGGAA